GGGGGCGAAACGGUUUCGACGGGGAUAAUUGAAGCUUAGAUUGCAUACCGAGGUUCCGACCUGCUCGUAAAACGGUUGGGUGAAACACAAACGCAGACGAUUACGCGUAUGCUGUAGCCGCAUAAAUGGCUACCGUCUUUCCGGUCUUUGCCUGCGUGACCGGAUAAAGGCGUCGACUAGCGGGCUAGCCGAUCCAUUGAACCUGUGGAAUGGUGGUGCGAAAAUUAACACAGGUUAGUCUUUAGGAAAGCUUGUUCAGUUGCGACCCCGAAGGCGAAAAUUUAAAACUGAACUACGUAUGUAGAGGUCUAAGUGGAAUAUUUUCGGACGCGGGUUCGACUCCCGCCGCCUCCACCA
rnacentral:tmRNA from 1 species